GAGUUUGAUCCUGGCUCAGAUUGAACGCUGGCGGCAUGCCUUACACAUGCAAGUCGAACGGCAGCAUGAUCUAGCUUGCUAGAUUGAUGGCGAGUGGCGAACGGGUGAGUAAUACAUCGGAACGUGCCCUGUAGUGGGGGAUAACUAGUCGAAAGAUUAGCUAAUACCGCAUACGACCUGAGGGUGAAAGUGGGGGACCGCAAGGCCUCAUGCUAUAGGAGCGGCCGAUGUCUGAUUAGCUAGUUGGUGGGGUAAAGGCCCACCAAGGCGACGAUCAGUAGCUGGUCUGAGAGGACGAUCAGCCACACUGGGACUGAGACACGGCCCAGACUCCUACGGGAGGCAGGCAGUGGGGAAUUUUGGACAAUGGGCGAAAGCCUGAUCCAGCAAUGCCGCGUGUGUG
rnacentral:rRNA from 1 species